rnacentral:lncRNA from 1 species
AUUCACUUGACAAAUAUUUGAUAUGCCUACCACAUGCCAGGUAUUAUUAUAGAAACUGGGGACAGAGAAGAGGACCAAAUACAAAAGCCGGUGUCCCCAGGAAGCUUACCUUCCAGUGUUAGCAGGGUUCAUGGUAAAGACAGAAAUGCCUCCAUCACCCCAGAGAGCAGGACACACAGGAAGGAGGGGCAGGUGUGCAGCUAACCUCUUACUCAUCCUUCAAGAUCAUCGUAGGCCAAUGAAUCCUUGAAUUUGUGGUCAACAAGAGGUCUUCUGUAGGCUGAAGUCAGGGCUGAGUGGUCUGCUUGUGAUCUCCUAGGAAUUCAAGUAAAUCCAUGUACUUCUUGAACAUAGCUCAUAGCAGAGGACUGAGCCGUGAAAAUGCUUACAUGCCUGCCUCCUCUGACACAUUAUAAGCUCCCUGAGGAUGGGGACCAAGGCUUAUUUCAUCGUUGUAUCCUCAGCAUCUGACCAAUAGCAGGCACUAAGUCAUUACUGAAAAGAACUGAGCAUGACACCCAAGGGAACAGAUGAGGUGGAGGUAGGACAAGGAAGACUGAGGAGUCUCCAUGGAACCUUCCAGGGAGAGACAGUCAAUAAACUCUCAUCAGUCGAAGUGAUUUCUAUUGUACAGUGCAAACCUAUGUGUGCCGUGAAAAACAGUAAGGGCAAUAGGGCUUAGGAGGAGGGGAAGGCUGUGGGUGCCUGGGGUGGCAAUGGGGAGCCUCACUAAGGAGGCAAAGAUGGAACGAUGAGGGUCAGCCAUCAGAUGGAAGGCUCUAGAGCAGAUGCUGCCAGCUAGGCGAGGACCAGGUGGGCCGAGCAGACACUGGCUUCAGCGUGCCCUCUCCUGCCCACCGUUCCCAUCAAUUUCAGCACUACUGCAGAAAGAGACUUUUAAACAGCAAACGUCAAGCGUACACUUCACGAGGACAGGGACCUUCAUGUGUGGGAUGUAACUCAACACCCGAGGGCAUAGUGGACGCUCAAUGAAGAGCUGUUGAACAAAUGAAGGGAUACAGAAAGUCAAGAGGGGAAAGGUUUGGAAAGCGGCGGAUGUGUCGUGCGAAAUGCAGCACGUGGUGAAAGACAAUAAGCACCCGAAGAACCUUGGUCUUUGUUCUUAUUUAUUUAUCUGUUUUUAUCAUCUCCUAUUUAUUUAUGGUCAAAGGCUGACCUAUAGAGUGUUCAGUUGUUCUCCACAGUGGUUUUACUAGUGUGCUUGGAAAAUAGGAAUGAGCUAUUUAGAGGAUUCUCUUACGGUCCUAUUCCGGAGUUUAACUGCAGCCAGUGAAAACAUCCUCGCUCGGUGGUGUAGCGUCACAUCCACAAUCAAAUCAGUAUUUCACUCUUAGAAUAUGGACUGCUUCUGUCUAUAUCUUCACAGGUGUAAGAUUUAUGUUUAACAUUGGCAUGAGAAUAAGUGAAAGUCAGGUAGUCAAAUAUCCUUUUGUAAAUAGGAAUAGGGUAAAAACCCUUUAAUAUAGGAUUGUAAUACUUGGCAUUCAAUUUAUAAUU